UACGAAGGGGGCUAGCGUUGCUCGGAAUCACUGGGCGUAAAGCGCACGUAGGCGGCUCUUUAAGUCAGGGGUGAAAUCCUGGAGCUCAACUCCAGAACUGCCUUUGAUACUGGGGAUCUUGAGUCCGGAAGAGGUGAGUGGAACUCCGAGUGUAGAGGUGAAAUUCGUAGAUAUUCGGAAGAACACCAGUGGCGAAGGCGGCUCACUGGUCCGGUACUGACGCUGAGGUGCGAAAGCGUGGGGAGCAAACAGG
rnacentral:rRNA from 1 species